rnacentral:lncRNA from 1 species
GGACGGGAUGCUGAGCUGAGACUAAAGGGUAGGGCUGACAGAUGCACACUACAGAUCCUGGCUUCUGGCAUGGAUUUCAAGGAAUCUCAGGGAGGAAUGAGGAAGCUGCAGGAAGGGAAUGACGGGAUUCCCCACUCACCACUCCACUACAUCCUCUACCAACCUGCCAAGAAAUACCUGCCAUCCCCUGGAGUCUUACCAGUCCCCUCACCCACAGUUCCAAGACCUCCGUCUGGCCUCCAUCCCCAGCCUUGAGAGUUCUUCUGACAGAAUGCCCUUUCCCCAGCACUACCUCCUCAGUCGCGUUGGUCCGCUAGCCUCAUCACCUCCUCACACAAAAGUGGUUCUGGAGUGGCGAGACCCCUGAAUACGGUCCGCAUGCACCUACUCUCACAAAUGUUUUUAGCGCAACGAGUCACGGGAUCCACACUGACCUGUCGCGGCAAGAAAGUCCUCGAACGACAACAAGCGCCCGCUUCGCGUCUGAAGCUGAUUAAGGCUGGGC